CACGUAGGGCGCAAGCGUUGUCCGGAAUUAUUGGGCGUAAAGAGCUCGUAGGCGGUCUGUUGCGUCCGCUGUGAAAACUCGGGGCUUAACCCCGAGCCUGCAGUGGAUACGGGCAGACUAGAGGUAGGUAGGGGAGAAUGGAAUUCCCGGUGUAGCGGUGAAAUGCGCAGAUAUCGGGAGGAACACCGGUGGCGAAGGCGGCCGGCUGGGGGUGACCUGACGCUGAGGCGCGAAAGCGUGGGGAGCGAACCGG
rnacentral:rRNA from 1 species